AUGGGAACGCGAAGAACCUUACCUGGUCUUGACAUCCACAGAACUUAGCAGAGAUGCUUUGGUGCCUUCGGGAACUGUGAGACAGGUGCUGCAUGGCUGUCGUCAGCUCGUGUUGUGAAAUGUUGGGUUAAGUCCCGCAACGAGCGCAACCCUUAUCCUUUGUUGCCAGCGGUUAGGCCGGGAACUCAAAGGAGACUGCCAGUGAUAAACUGGAGGAAGGUGGGGAUGACGUCAAGUCAUCAUGGCCCUUACGAGUAGGGCUACACACGUGCUACAAUGGCGCAUACAAAGAGAAGCGACCUCGCGAGAGCAAGCGGACCUCAUAAAGUGCGUCGUAGUCCGGAUUGGAGUCUGCAACUCGACUCCAUGAAGUCGGAAUCGCUAGUAAUCGUAGAUCAGAAUGCUAC
rnacentral:rRNA from 1 species